CGGGCUGGGCCCCAGCACCCUCUCCAGGCUCCUCGAGUACAACUUCUGGAGGAAGAGGCUUAUGUGAGACUCCAUGUGGGCCUCCAAUGAAGAGUUCAUCAAGAUGAGUUCGUCAAGUUCCAGGUACUCUUGUGAAGCCAGCAAGCCCUCAGAGGUCAUGGUCUCUCCAGGAAGCUGCAGUGAGUGAGUGGCCGUGGGUGCUGGCACUGCUCCAUCCUGGCUACCUGGCCUUGACUGAGCUACUUCCCUGAGAGCCAGCUCCCUCAGGUGAGUGGUGGGCAACGUCACAGCUUCUUCUCCACAGGCUCUUGGUGGGGAUUAUGACAAGAUGAGUGCUCACGGUGACUGACUUGGCUUGGCCCACAGUAAGUCCCCAGAGAGUCAAAAAUUCAGUGUAGAGUAAUGUGUGGCACAGACACUGAAAGCAGGUAGCCUAUGGUAACUCCAAUUGCCGCUUAAAGAGUUCCCAAAAGCAUGGAAUGGUUUCUAUCUCAGGGGUCUGUGGUGAUAAUUAAAUGAAGUAAGCCACAUAAAAUGUCUAGGACAGAACAAGUAUCUAUCAUAUAAAAUGUGUUUCCGAUUUUGGAUAUUUUUUUGAAUUUGGGAAUAUUUGCUCAUAAAUAAUGAGAUGUCUUGAGAUAGGACCCAAGUUUAAAUUAGAUCUCCAUUUAUGUUUCAUAUACAUCUUAUUCACAUAGUUGGAAGGUAAUUUUAUACAAUAUUUUAAAUAGUUUUGUGAAUGAAAUGAAGUUUCAUGGUGUGGGGUUUCCCGCUUGUGGGAUCUUGUUAAUGCUCAACAUGUUUUGGAUUUUGGAGCAUUUUAGAUUUUUGGAUUAGAGAUGCUUAACCUAUGUAAAUUUAGCUUAGAUUAUGUGAUCAAUAAACAUUAAUCAUUCUUUUAACUGUUUAAUGGCUUUUCUCUAUUCCCAACAGCUGCAGAAACUGACAAUGGUCUUUUAAUUUUUACAUAAUUUUUACAUUUCUUAAAAUUCCGGCAUGCAGAAAUGUAGGGAGAGUUGUCCAAGGAAUGCUCAUAUACCCAUGACCUCGACUGGACAAGUCAAAAAGGCUCUGUCACCAACCACCUUUUUAUGGCUCCAGCUGGGCUCAGGUCUGGCUUGGAGAAGGUGUCAGGGGAGAUGGAUAGCUCCCAGCAGUAGUUAUUGGACAGCUGAAGCAUACAUAAUGGAGGCAGCACAGUCUGGGGACAAUGUGAGCUGCUGGGGGACUUUGGGAGGCUCCCAGGGAUCAAAACAUGAACCUGAGCUUAAAACAAACCAACUCAGAAAGACUUUUCAAUAUACACUAGACUUAGCAAUAACCACACACUGGGUGGCUGCAAUUUCUAAAUCCUUUCUCUCCCUGUCAACUUUACUUCUCAACUAAAUGUUAACAAACAGCCAGGAUAUUCCUCAGCCCCAUCUUCUCCCUGUUUACCUGGCCCUGGGCUUGGCAGGUAUCCCCAGGCCCAAGUGGAAGGGGGAAGAUUUGUCAUCUCCAGGAACAAGAUCUCUGUGAGGUCCAGACCCACACCUCUGGGUCUUUCCUGCUUCCUUGAGGGAGGGACCAGUAAAGAUUGCC
rnacentral:lncRNA from 1 species